AGAUUAAACUGAAGAGUUUGAUCCUGGCUCAGAUUGAACGCUGGCGGCAUGCCUUACACAUGCAAGUCGAACGGCAGCGCGGGGCAACCUGGCGGCGAGUGGCGAACGGGUGAGUAAUAUAUCGGAACGUACCCUGGAGUGGGGGAUAACGUAGCGAAAGUUACGCUAAUACCGCAUACGAUCUAAGGAUGAAAGCAGGGGACCGCAAGGCCUUGUGCUCCUGGAGCGGCCGAUAUCUGAUUAGCUAGUUGGUAGGGUAAAAGCCUACCAAGGCAUCGAUCAGUAGCUGGUCUGAGAGGACGACCAGCCACACUGGAACUGAGACACGGUCCAGACUCCUACGGGAGGCAGCAGUGGGGAAUUUUGGACAAUGGGCGCAAGCCUGAUCCAGCA
rnacentral:rRNA from 1 species